rnacentral:rRNA from 1 species
CUUGGUCAUUUAGAGGAAGUAAAAGUCGUAACAAGGUUUCCGUAGGUGAACCUGCGGAAGGAUCAUUAUUGAAUAAACUUGGUGGGUUGUUGCUGGCUUUUAGGAGCAUGUGCACGCCCGCCAUCUUUAUCCAUCCACCUGUGCACCUUUUGUAGUCUUGGGGAUAAUAACAGUGCAGGCCGACCCGCUCGAUGAGCUUGUCAGCUCUUCGGAUAUGUGGAUUGCUGUGCGAAAGUACAGCUCUCUGCAAAUGAAGCCUUAUCUUUUACCUCAAGUCUAUGUCCUUUCAUAUACCACAUAGUAUGUCAUAGAAUGUAUUACAUGGGCCUCUGUGCCUAUAAAUCUAUACAACUUUCAGCAACGGAUCUCUUGGCUCUCGCAUCGAUGAAGAACGCAGCGAAAUGCGAUAAGUAAUGUGAAUUGCAGAAUUCAGUGAAUCAUCGAAUCUUUGAACGCACCUUGCGCUCCUUGGUAUUCCGAGGAGCAUGCCUGUUUGAGUGUCAUUAAAUUCUCAACCAUUUCAGUUUUUAUAGCUGGAGUUGGCUUGGAGUUGGGGGUUUUUGCGGGCCUUUCUGAGGUCGGCUCCCCUGAAAUGCAUUAGCAGAACCGUUUGCGGUACGUUGCCGGUGUGAUAAUUAUCUACGCCAUAAACGACCACCGCUCUCUGUCUGUUCAGCUUCUAAUCGUCCUUUGAUGGACAAAUUUUGAACUCUUGACCUCAAAUCAGGUAGGACUACCCGCUGAACUUAAGCAUAUCAAUAAGCGGAGGAAAAGAAACUAACAAGGAUUCCCCUAGUAACUGCGAGUGAAGCGGGAAAAGCUCAAAUUUAAAAUCUGGCGGUCUUUGGCCGUCCGAGUUGUAAACUAGAGAAGUGAUGCCCGCGCUGGACCGUGUACAAGUCUCCUGGAAUGGAGCGUCAUAGAGGGUGAGAAUCCCGUCUUUGACACGGACUACCAGGGCUUUGUGGUACGCUCUCAAAGAGUCGAGUUGUUUGGGAAUGCAGCUCAAAAUGGGUGGUAAAUUCCAUCUAAAGCUAAAUAUUGGCGAGAGACCGAUAGCGAACAAGUACCGUGAGGGAAAGAUGAAAAGAACUUUGGAAAGAGAGUUAAACAGUACGUGAAAUUGCUGAAAGGGAAACGCUUGAAGU